rnacentral:tRNA from 1 species
AGGGUUGUGGCUCAGUGGUAGAGCACUUGCCUAGCAUGCUUGAGGCACUGGGUUCAAUCCCCAGCACCACAU